UACAGAGGGGGCGAGCGUUGUUCGGAAUUACUGGGCGUAAAGGGCGCGUAGGCGGCCCGCUAAGUCGAACGUGAAAUCCCCAGGCUCAACCUGGGAAUGGCAUUUGGGACUGCAAGGCUGGAGUGCGGCAGAGGAGACUGGAAUUCCUGGUGUAGCAGUGAAAUGCGUAGAUAUCAGGAGGAAUACCGAUGGCGAAGGCAGGUCUCUGGGCUGACACUGACGCUCAUGCACGAAAGCGUGGGGAGCAAAAGGG
rnacentral:rRNA from 1 species